rnacentral:misc_RNA from 1 species
GAUGAAGAACGUAGCGAAAUGCGAUAAGUAGUGUGAAUUGCAGAAUUCAGUGAAUCAUCGAAUCCUUGAACGCACAUUGCGCCCCUUGGUAUUCCAUGGGGCAUGCCUGUUCGAGCGUCAUUUGUACCUUCAAGCUUUGCUUGGUGUUGGGUGUUUGUCUCGCCUUUGCGUGUAGACUCGCCUUAAAAUAAUUGGCAGCCGGCGUAUUGAUUUCGGAGCGCAGUACAUCUCGCGCUUUGCACUCAUAACGACAGCGUCCAAAAGUACAUUUUACACUCUUGACCUCGGAUCAGGUAGGGAUACCCGCUGAACUUAAGCAUAUCAAUAAGCGGAGGA